UACAGAGGGUGCAAGCGUUAAUCGGAAUUACUGGGCGUAAAGCGUGUGUAGGUGGUUUGUUAAGUUAGAUGUGAAAGCCCUGGGCUCAACCUGGGAAUUGCAUUUAAUACUGGCAGGCUAGAGUAGGGUAGAGGGAAGUGGAAUUUCCGGUGUAGCGGUGAAAUGCGUAGAUAUCGGAAAGAACACCAGUGGCGAAGGCGGCUUCCUGGAUCCAUACUGACACUGAGGCACGAAAGCGUGGGGAGCAAACAGG
rnacentral:rRNA from 1 species